GAACCAGGCAGGGGCGCGCAGGCUCAGGCCGGGCAGGAGACGCCCCAGAAGCCCUGGGCACUGCGGACCCGGCCGGCAUCCCCGGGCCCCCAGCUGUCCAGCUGUCCGAGCGCAGGUUCCCAUGGCGACGGCUCGCGCCCCGGCUCCGGGUUCCAGCUGCUGCCGAGACUCGCCCACCGCGGCGGCCGGGCAGGGGCGCGGGCAUUGUGACCCGCCGCCGCGCCGGGCGCCCGGGGCCCACCUGCCAGGUGCGCCUCCCGCCCGCGCGCCCCCCGGGGCCCCCCGCGCUCACCGGACGGGGGCUCGCGCAGGCUCAGGCGCACGUUCAGGGCUUCACGUACAGCCACCGCUCGAUCAAAAUUCGGCCCAGUGAAUGCCAAGCCCGGUUCCGUGACAGGUGAACCUGCCUCGCCUCCUGCUCCAGGGCGCUUCCCUCGUCUGCAGGCGGAUGGUCUUUCCAGCCCUCUCCCCUCAGAACUGAGGGGUGGGCGCGGGGGCGAGGACAGAACCAGGACGGCAUUCCGUGCUGGGAGAAAGCAGACGCUCUGCGCCGUGGUCAGCGAGUGCUUUUGACUCCUGGUACCAGUGACCAGCAGUGGCGUGAACCGUCUUUUAAGUUCAGUUGAAACAUAAGAAAAACAUUAGGCAAGUCCAAUUUGAAGGAUUUUCUACAAAAUAGCCAAUGAGUACUCCAAGCCAGUAAAGCACAGAGACCAAGACACUGCCAUAGACCAGCCAAGACUAAGGAGUGAAUGCCACGUGGGAUCCUGGAGCAGAAAAGGGCUUUAGUGGAAAAACCAUGUUUUGUUGGGAAAUUUAGAAAUAACCAACAUAGUCACUGAACAGUGCAAAAGGCUGCAUACUGGGAAACUGCCUUGGCUUCAGGAGCCUGGUGCUAGCGAAGUUAAGCCCUGGGAGCAUGCCCAGUGAGCAGAGGCCAGAGGGCACAACUCCUUCUUGCAAGGUCUGUUGAACGUCUUCUACUGACAGAGCUUCACGUUGUACCAUCUGACAAAGAAAAAUACUGAACAGACCACAUCCUUUUUCAUUCUAAAGGGCUCGUGGUAGGAGAAAGCACAGAAAUCAGCUAAGAACAGAACACUGAUGGAUGAUCCAAUCCAACUACACAGGAAGGUGUGAGAGACAUGAGUAGUCUGAAGGCAGAAAUGAGCUUGCAACCAGCUGAUGUGGUCGGUGUUGUCACAGGGGGUUUCAGUAAAAGGGUCACAUGCUUAAAAUGGAAUUUUCAGAUUAACCUGCCAGAGCAAUGCAACAUGACUGUUUCUUUCCCAGGCCACCUGAAAAUUCUAUAGAUAAAAAAAAUCAACUCUUAUAAGUAGCUGAAAUUUAUUCAAUGCUUCCUUUUUGGUCUUAGCAUUUUCCACAAACUUGUCUCCUAGAAACUGUACUUCUGUGGGCUUUUUUUCUUUUCCAGAUAUUCCUGUUGCAAUAUUGUACCCUGCAACCAUGAGGUUAAGCAGAAUGCAUUCAUUUUAUUUUCUUCUUCAGUGAGUGUGACAAUUUGAACAAGAAUGGCCAAAUUGCUUUCUUUUUUCUCCUAAAUCAAACUGUCUGUUCAGAAGAGGAUCACACUGUAGUUUCAUGAAACAAAACAACUCGCUCUGCUCUGGUACUUAAUGGGGCCACCGCAACCUCCCCGUGUCUCAGCUUUGCUGACACAGGAGCUCACCAAGGGACACCUCGCCCCACGAAGAGUCUGGACAGUGUCUUCCAUAGGCUGUCGAUUUGGCAGUGAUUUCUGCUGCUACAAUGGACUUUGGCUUUGAUAAAUAAUACAGGGCUUGCGGUGGCUUAUACAUAAGAUCAGAGAAGGAAAAUCAGGAGGUACAAAAAUAGUAUUUCACUUUUUACCUAAAAAGCUAUUUGAGGGGUUGAUGUUAUGGCACAGCACGUGAAGCCAGGCCAUGUGAUGCCUGUUUGAGUUCCAGAGGCUCUGCUUCCCAUCCAGCUCCCUACUGAUUCACCCAGGAAGGCAGCGGAAAGAUGGCCCAAGUGCUUGGGCCCCUGUACCCAAGCUCCUGGAUCUUGGCUCCUGGCAUUGGCCUGGCCCAGCCCCAGUUGUUGCAGCCAUUUGGAAAGUGGACCAGUGGAUGAAAGGCCUCUCUCUCUCUCUCUCUCUGCUACUCUGCCUUUCAAAUAAACAAAUACAUAAAUCUAAAAAUAACCUUUAAUUGAUUGUGGGUAUUUUCUCAUGAAACAGUAACCCUAUUAGAAAACAGACAAGAUAAAUAAAUGAAGGGAGGUAUUUGCAAAGGGUUGUCAUUGGUUGUAAUGAGGGUAGUCAGAACACAAAUUGGGCACACCUGCCCAGGCCACAAUCCUUGAGUCCAACAGUCAUUCUAUCAUUGGGAACUGUACCAAGAGAUGUGUUUGCCCUUGAUGUUUCAAUGCAGUUUGCCCCUACACAUGCCACUGUGAGGUGGAUGCAGUGACAUCUGAGCACUUGCUAAUCACGGGUUUAUGUUUGUACUUUCUAACAGUGUCCUGAGGGGAACUGCAAGCUUCAUAGUUUGUAGGGUUUGCUCCUGUUUGGCCAUCCACGUUUCCAUGUACCUGAUACUUCCUUGCAUGCUUUGAGGGAUGAAGUACACUCUAGAAUUCUUGGGUUUGGGAAUCAAAUCAAUGUUCUCCUUGCCUGUGCUCUUGGUUUAAAGAUGAUUUCAUAUUACAGAUGUAACACAACAUCAUAAAAACACACAUAAUAGAUAAAAACAGAAAAAUAGGUAUGUGGAAAGGUGAAGGUUGUAGUGUUGAUGGCAAUAGUGAAAACUUGGGAACAAACAAUGUUCCUGAAUAGGAAAACAGUUACACAAAUGACCACAAACACAUCUGAGAAAUCUAUGCAACUUUAACAAGUAAGGUGGAUAUUUGUGUAUUGAUACAGAAAUUUAUUUGUCAAAGACAUUUUUAAAAUUUAUUUACUUGAAAAAGAUAGAUAUAGGGAGAUAGAGAUAGAGAUAGAGAUACAGAGGGAGAGAGAGAACUUCCAUCCACUUGCUCACUCCCAAAGGAUUGCAGUGGCCAGCUGGGACUUGGCCAGAUGGAAGUCUGGAGGUAGGACCACAUUCCAAGUUUCCUAGGGUAGUAGGACCUUCAUCAUUUGAGUCAUCAUCAGUGCCUCUCAGGGUCUGCAGUAGGAAGAAGCUGGAAUCAAAAGCUGGAUCCUGGAAUAAAACUCUAGCACUCUGAUAUGGGAUGUGGCCAUCUUAAAUGCUAGGCUAAAUGCCCCCCCUCUCAGUCAUAUUUUUAAUUGAUAAAAUGAAGUUGCAUAAUCAUACAUGAAGUGUGACAACAUUGAUACUGCUAGAAGUGAUACAGUGAUCCAUUUCUAGAUUAGGCAAAUAUCCCUCUGGAGACAUGCCAGCUACAUCUGUUUCACAUAGUGGUGCUGACAGGGAUACGCUAUGUAAAAUACAUUUUUUUUUUUUUAAAUCAGAGGAGAAUGGAAAGGAAAGGAACUGUCCCACGAUUUCUCUUGCCCACAUAAUGUGUGCGAUCAUGGGUGUUUGGGACGUUCAUUAGUCAGUGGGGAACAAGUAGAAGUAGAAGGCUGCCUCCCUUGGAGUUGGAGCAUCCUCCACCACGUGUCCCCAACUUUCCCCCCACCAAUUUCCCAAGGACAAUUGCUGGAACUGCUUUAUUAGUAUUCCUUUUGGGAGAAAAAAACACAAGUAUAUAUCCAGCCUCCAUAUCCAAGGGUUCUGCAUACAUAGAUUCAACCAAUGUCACAUAGAAAAUAUUAAAAUGUAAGUUACCUCUAGACUGAAAAUUACAGACUUUCUCCAUCAUUAUAAUAUAGUACAACAGCUAUUUACAUACCAUUUCUAUUAAGUGUCAUAAGUAAUCUAGAGAGAUUUGCAGCAUACAAGAGGAUGAGUAUGUGUUAGACUGCAGCAUUUUAUCUGAGGUACUUGCCUAUCCACAGGAUAUGGUAUCUGUGAGGUCGUGGAGCCAAUCUCCCACAGAUGGCAAGAAUUGACUAUAUUCACAUAGGCACACAGAUGAGAUACUGACCACACCUAAUAUUUAGUAGGCAUUCAGCAUGAGACCAGACACUGGUCUGCAUACAGCACUUUGUAUGAAUUAACCCCUGAACUCUCUGUAGCUCUAUGAGUUGGGGACUAUUAUUGUUGCCAUUUCAUUGAUGAUGAAACUGAGGCACAAGUAAGCUAAGGAAACCGCUGAUAGUCACACAGCUGGAAGGUGGGUGUAACUAGGAUUUGAAUCCAGAAAAUCUGGUUCAAGUCUCAGUAUGAACUAGGGCACCUCACCAUCCCAAUGAUAACAGCUCCUUGACAUCAUAAACCUAAUAGGGCAUGUCUGUAAGAGCCUUCACACUACAUCUACUCUUCUGAGUCUUCUUUUCUUUAAAAAUUUUCCUUAUUCAAAACAACUUUAUUCUUUUAAUAAAUUACAGAGUUUCAUAUAGCAGGGGUACAGCGCUAAAUACAUAUGCUAGGGUUAUUUUCUAUUUUUUCAAUUUGUUUUAUGUAUUUUUCUCCCUAUUCUGGCGUCCAUUAUUUUACUUUGUAUUUUUCUAGAAAGUACUCCAUUUCCUUUUUUUCCUGUUUUGUAUUUUCCUCAUUCUUUCCCUAAUCUUUAUCUUCUUUCAUCUGUUAUGUGGGUUUAUUUUAUUAUUGUUUUUUUUCAAUUGAAUGUUUCAUUCAGGUUUUCCUUAUUGGCUCAUGUAGGCUUUUAAUGUCAUGAAUCUAAAGUAAACAUAUUUUUCCUUGAUAUUCUGCUUUUACCAAAAAAUGGGAAUUAUUGAACUGCUGAGUUAAGAUUUUUGUAGGUGCUUGACGUUUUCCCUUCUAAUUUACUUGUCUUGCUCUUGCUUCUGACUUGCGUCUACUGUGUGGUGAUUGCUGUCUUUGUGCUGUUUUCCAGGUGUACAACAUUUAUCUUUUCUGCUUCUAUUUCCCAUGGUAAUUUAGUUUUAAUUGUAUAUUUAAAUAAAUGUAGUGCUCAUACACGGCACCUUGUAUCCAGCAUUUAAAACAAAAACACCACCUGUCUCUGUCUUUUUAAAUGAAACAAAGCCUAGGAGUUUACAGUUCUCAUAAUCUCCUUGGCUGCCUCUUUACGUUGGAUGUUUGGGUCACUUCUGAUCCCUCUUGUAAACUCCACGGCAGUCCCUGGGUGAAACAGCGCAUCCCCCAGCCCAUAUUCUGCGCUCUUUCCACUGUGAGAGAAUUCCCUCAAGGGCCUUGUGGGUGUUGGUCCUCCAAGCCCUGGGCAAUUUGUGAGAGCCGGCUUGGAGCAGCGCUGGUUCUGCUGGUGUCGUGUUAGACUGCCCUCCUAUGGCAGCCAGUCUAACUGCAUGCACACGGUGGCUUCAGCAAACCUUGGGGAUGCAAGGUGAGGCUGCUCUCCUCUAGCCAGGUGUUUUUUUGUUUGUUUGUUUGCUUGCUUUUUAAUUUCCAGGCUGUUCUUUCUUGCUGCCCCAGCAUACGUAUGCACUCAAUUUCAGAGCAUUUCCCCAAAUCACCUGUGAGAGUUGUGGCUGGCAGCAUUGCUAUGAGCAUUGCUGUUACAGGAUUUGGACUGUAAGCAUAGUUGGAUCACUUUUCUGUAAGAUAACUGGCAUGUCCUUACCCAGCUAGCUACAAAUCCACUCACCACUUUUUAACCUUCACAUGAAGCAUGAAAGUUUUCUCCACAAGUUAACGCCCAUUAAAUGUUAACCCCAUAAUAAUAUAAAGUUAUCUUUGUAGAUGGAAAAAGGCCUUGGUUACAUGUUUUCAGCAGGGGCUGACCCAUUGCCAUGCCCACAGAUGAGAUUAGAAAACUAAGCUGUCCCUAUGAAAUACACGCUUUUGCAGUGGCUUUGGGGACGACCUGACACAAGCCAAGCUGACUCUCUUGUUCUAAAAUUGGCUCGAGCUAGCAAAUGGAGUCCGUCUCUCGACCUUCCCAUUCCACAGCCUGCCAACUGCUUCUGCCUCUAUCAUGCAAGUCCAUCCUUUCACUCCUUCCCACUGCAAGCACCUGCCAGGUCCAGGGUGCCCAGGUGUCUCACCUGCAUUCCUCUAACAGCCUCAGAUGGUCCUCUGCUUUCAGACUUGCCUUUUGAGUUCCUUCUUGGCAUAGUAGCCAGAGGGAUGUUUAUAAUGAUUUUUUUUUCUUGCUCAGUAGCUCUCUCUGAGUCUUGUGAUGAACUUUACCUACCCCAGGGGCCUCUCCCUGUGGCUCCUUUUCUCAGUACACAGUCCUCUCCCCUUACAGUGGGGCCACAUCGAGCAAAUCCUUAGUUCUAACCAGAGAUUUUACUCCUCUGGAGGAAAUUUCCAGAUUUCUUGGAUCCAUGACUCCUGUAACCCCCCCCCCCCAAUCUAACAUUUCCUCCCAUGGUAUUAGUCCCAGACAAUGAGCCCUUACACUCUAGUAAGUCAGUGAUAUCUUGAUCUUGUUUCAUGUAUCAGAAGUUGUGUUUGGCUGCCCAUAGCAGAAGCUAAACAAUAAGGUCAAAGAUAUUUUCGUCUCGCAUCCCAGUCUACAGAAAGGCCCUAAGAGCUGGUGUGAAGCUCCUAAGGCUCCCUCUAGGUGAUGCCACCAUUGAUUGUCCUUGGCUUUCAUACCCAAGCUUUCUCCACCAUCCGAGGUGGCUGCUGGAGCCCUAACCAUUUCAGCCACAAUCCGUCUUUGAAACAGGAAGGAGAGAAUAAUAGCAGAAAGAAUGCAGAGCUGUUUGUCUCUCCUUAAUGGAGAUUCAUCAUAAUUGUCCCCCAUAAUGUCAGCUUCUACCUCAUGAUUCAGAGCUUGCUUUCCUGAAUACUGCACACAUCCAGCUACAAACUAAGCUGGGAAACAGUCUUUGCCGAGAGACAAUAUCACUGGCUCUGAAUCAGUUAUGUUACUGGGAAAGAAGAUAGGGACUGGUAUUUGGAAAGAAUCUGCUGCUGUCAUUUUCAUGAGAGCCUCUCAAAGACUGCCUGUCUGAGUCCUCAGUAGGUGUGCCCUGUCCUGCUUCAGAGAAGCUCUGAACCCAAGGCAUGAAGGAGCUCAAAUAGAAGAAGUGUCCUGCUGCAGUCAACAGACAGCACUGCGCUCGCAACCACGAGCAAACGACGAUGCUCUGUGAUCCCCGUGCCUGACCCAUGAAACUUGUAUGGUGCAGUGGAGAGCCCUGGAUGUGGAAUCCAUGGCUGGGCUCUGCACUGGCUCUGGAACCAACAGUCAUGCGGCUUUCUUUGCUCCAUUCACCUACUUUCUUUUUUUUAAAAGAAAUAUUUAUUUGUUUAUUUGAAAUUCAGGGUUACACAGAGAGAAGGAGAGGCAGAGAGAGAUAGAGAUAGAGAUAGAGAUAGAGAUAGAGAUAGAGAUAGAGAUAGAUAGAGAGAGAGAGGUUUUCCAUUUGCUGGUUCACUCCACAAUUGGCUGCAAUGGUCACGUGGGUGCAGGGGCCCAGGGACUUGGCCAUCUUCUACUGCUUUCCCAGGCCACAGCAGAGAGCUGGAUUGAAAGUGGAGCAGCCGGGUCUCCAACUGGUGCCCAUAUGGGAUGCCAGCACUGCAGGCCAGGGCGUUAACUCUCUGUGCCAUAGUGCCGGCCCCAUUCACCUACUUUCUAUGUCAUUUUCCUUAUUUGUAAAACAGGCUUGUACCACCUCUUUAUCUUCUUACUGCAGGCACAGGGACACAAUGAGAUGUGCAAAUACAAGGCCCGAUGGUCUGCAGUGCACCCCAUGGACCAGCAGUUUAUAGAGGCACCUUUAGAAUGGUAAUGUGGGGUGGGCAUUAUGGCUCAGCGGGUGAAGCGACAGGUUGGGAUUUCCACCUCCCACAUCAGAGUGCCAGUUAGAGUCCCAUCUAUUCCAGCUACUCUGCUGCUGCUGCCCUUUUAAAAGAUGUUAUUUAUUUAUUUGAAAUGCAGAGUUAUAGAGAGGCAGACGUAGAGAGAGAGAGGUCUUCCAUCCACUGGUUCACUUCCCAAAUGGCCACAAUGGCCUGAGCUGCACCAAUCCGAAGCCGGGAGCCAGGAGCUUCUUCCGGGUCUCCCACAUGGGUGCAGGGGCCCAAAGAGUUGGGCCGUCUUCUGCUUUCCCAGGCCAUAGCAGAGAGCUGGAUGAGCAGUAGAGUAGCAGGACUCAAACCGGUGCCCAUAUGGGAUGCUGGCACAAUAGGUAGUGGCUUAGCCUACUAUGCCACAGCGCUGACCCCGCUACUCAGCUUCUGAGCCAGCUUCCUGCUACAGCACCUGGAAAGCUACAGAUCAUGGCUUAAGUACUUGGGUUGCCAUCACCUACAUGAGACACACUUGGAUGGAGUUCCAGGCUCCUAGCUCCUCGGCUUCAGCCUGGCCUGCCACAGCUAUUGCAGCCAUUUGGGGAGUGAACGAGUACAUGGAAAGUCUCUCUCUCUCUCUCUCUCUCUCUCCCUGUGUCUUUAUCCUAUUUAUAAGGAGUAAAUACAUAAAUCUUUAGAACAUAAUGUAUCUGUGUAUUCCCAUGGACCUUAGUAGCAUUACUGGUUUUGUAGCAGUUCUGGCUAAGACCCAAAUUUCAUAUCCUGCCUUUCAAAACUGAUGGGAUGGCUGGGGAGGGCAUGAGGUGAGCAGAAGGCCCCGCCCUGCCAGUCUCCUAUGAGAGCUCCAAGCAGCCUGAAGCCACGUGCAGAGCUAUGGUAAACGCCCUUGGUGAACACGUGCCCGGCACCCACGAGGCUUUCCCCCUGAGCUCACACAGAAGUCUCAGACACCUGCCCCAGCAGCCUCUUCUGCGCCGGGGGACUCUGAACCCCAGCCCCUCUGCCGGGCUGAGUGGUUCCCACACCAUCACUGGUCAUUGAUGUAGUCUGAUGGCAAAAAUCUCCACUUCAAGUGAUUGGAAACCUUAAGAAAGAAAAAGAAACCAAAAAGCUGGUAACAACAUCAAGUGGGUGAAACAAAUACAAUGUAGGAGGGAAGGUUUGUUAUGAAUCAUUGAAAAUCUUGAUGGGAGCUUGUAUGGGAUGGGCCAUCUCCCUCCCCCACCUUUACAGAGUCUUUCCAAACUUGCUGGGCCCAUGCCGUACCUGGGACCCCUGCUCUGAGGCCAUUUCCAAGACAAUUGCACUUUUCCUGAUUAUGAAAACAGCAGGUAGUUUAGAAACAAAUGUGAGUGAGUAGAAAAAGUGGGGGAAAGCAAAGUCCACUGGAUUUCAUUUGUCAAAGGUAAUAGUUUCAAACAUUUUGAUAACUUUCCUUGCAAUUCUAUUUUUUUCUGCAUAAAGUUCUGUAAACUUAGACUUUAAAGAAAACGGCAGUAGUCGUGCCUCCUCUGUGAUUCCAUUUUCUUGGGUUUGAGAGGUUACCUGUGGGGAACUGCCAUUCCAAAAUAUUUCAUGGAAAAUUCUUCACCACCAGGUGUUCAAGAUCAGGGCACAGAAGGCAGCUCUUGGGCCAGUGGAAGGCCCCUCCCACACCCUGCUCUGGGGUCUGUGCCUUUGGGCUUGGGUUUCACUUGUUCCCUCAGCCAAGGAUUGUGUCAGGAGCACCCCCUGCCCCCGCACUGACCACGUCUUUGUCUCCGUGCUCCUGGCUCCUGGGCGCAGCACCCCCGUCUCUGCAGUGUCUGGUCCCGGGGAUGUGUGAAAAGUGUCCAAACUCAGAUCUUCUCCAGGAGCGGGAACAGCAGGACGCAGCCCGGCCUAGGGCCAGCACGGGGAAAGAGCGCUUCCGAGGGCAGAGGCCGGGGGCGAGGCACCAGGGCCGCCUCCUGCCUGCAGGGGCCCAGGGCGGCCGGGCUUGGAUGCGUCCCUCCUUGCGUCUGGACCUGGGAAACCACUCUGGGGGGAAUCGCUGCCUUGCUCCCUCAUUAUUUUUAUGCCACUAAUGAAUCAGCACUGACUCGCGGCAAUUAGCGUAAGCAACAGGCGUCAUUUCAGCGGCCUGACAAAUGAAGGUUCUAAGGAGAGAACGCAAGCGUCCUGAGGAUCUGGGCAGUCCCUUAGCUGGAACCUCGAGCACAAAGCUCGCUGAGCGGAAUCUGAGCAGCGCACCGCCGGGACCUCCGCGCUCCCGCGCCCGGGCGGCCGCCCGCAGGUGCGCCCUGGUCGCUCCUCCCUCAGAGGAGGGCCGGCCCCACGCGCGGCCCCAUUCCAGAACGUUCCAGCCCGGGACGGGCGCCGCGGCGUCUGAGGUUCGCGCCCCCGCCCCCGGCCCCAGCAAGGGCCGCGCGGCUGUGCUCGCGGGGAGCGGUUCCGCGGCGCGGGGGUGCGGGUUUGCUCUCGCAGGCGCCCGGGCGAGUCCCGGAUUUUCGGUGCGGGGCGGCCAGCGGCACCGGCCCGGCCCUUCCGUCUCGGUGGCACUUGGCACGCGCUCCCCGCGGAGGUUCGGAGUCAUCCCUGGAAAUCCCAUUUUAACGGAGGGAAAACUGAUGGCGUGAGUCCAACGGUCUCGUGCCCAGAUUGGCCCUGAGAGUCUCAGGGGAGGAAUACGGAAGGGGGGUACUGAGUGUCACAGAGGAUAAAUGAUGGGGGGAGCGCGCAGCGCGGCCCCGAGCCGCCCCGCGGGAAGCGCCCCCUGCGGGCGCCGCCGAACACCCGGCCAACGCCUCGGGCUUCUGGCCGCGCGGCGCCACCUAGCGGCGGCCGGGGAAACACCUGCUUGCGGGACCUGGGCCUGCAUGGUGCACAGCCUCAGCCGUCCUGGAAAGGGCGUCCCGCAUCCUGGCCCGCGUCCUCGCUGACGCGAUCGGCCCCUUGCGCUGAAGCCCGUGGGCAGCAGCGCAGACCCCGUCGUCUCCGCAGGGUCUGGCCUCUCUGGCAAAGCCCGUCGGGGAGCCUGUGGCGCUCCAGCGGAGCAGGUGCACUGGGUGUGGGCAGUGUGCCUCCCACAAGCCUGCUAGGCUGCUACUGAGACCCCACUUUAUAAGUGGGGAAAGUGGGGUUCGGGAGGUUAAGGUCAAGGUCACACAGCCGUUCCACAAAGAACCAGACCCUCCCUGGUGACGCCUCAGGGCCACGGCUGUCUUCAGGAGUCUGAUGUACCCCCACCAGUUCUUCCACCCCCCUCCCCAACCUUCACACCUCGUCCUGCUCUCCUGGGAUGCCCCCUCCCUGGUUUAGAGGCCACGUGGGGCAUGGGGGAAGGAAGCAUCCUCAGUUGGCCCCUGCGGCCCCAGACCUCCCUCCCAGGCCUCCUUAAGAGGCCCCGUGGCAUUGCAGGUGCAGAUCUCCCUCAUUCCCUACCUGGAGUUCUUUGUGGAAAAAGGAUACCCUCUGGAGUUGGAGAUUUCGGGACUUCUACCCCAUUUCCUCCUGAAGUGAUGCUUAUGAUGAAACAGGCAGAGAAAGGUUAGAGCAGACAGGUCGUUAGGGCACCUCGUCCUGGGAUGCUGCACAGAGGGUUUCAGGCUCCUGCCCAGCACAACCUGGUGCUGCGGGCAUGAGGGCCAGGACUGGCGCUGUGUCCUGAGUGCAGAGGGAAUACGGGUGUCGGUGAUGGUGCUGAUAAAUAACCAGGUGGUGAGAAGUGUUCAGGGCUAAAGGGAUACACAUUUAGGUUAAGUUUGAGGGGACAGUCACCACUCAGGGGGCUGCAAGAACCCACAGAAGAGUUCCUGUCUGGUCGGUGCAGUGGUGCUCUGCUAGGGGUGGAGUUGUGUCCCCAAAGUCGUGUUCUGAUUCCCUGAUAUCUUAAUACUUAAGUGUGGGACCUUCUUUGGAAAAAAGGUCUUGAAAGAGGUAAUUAAAAUGGGGUCAUUAGGGUGAGCCCCAAUUCAGUUUGGUGUGUUAAUUUUAGUAAAUUAAACCUGGAGAUAGGCAGGCACCCAGCGUGAAGAUGAAAGCAGGCAUCCACAAGCCAAGGAAUGGCCAAGAAUGCUGGCACACCUGCAGAAGCCAGGGGCGGGCAUAGGAUGGGGUUCCCACUUAGGGCUCUGCGAGGGACCUAACCUUGAUGGCGCCCCUGGAUGUGACACGUUCAGCCGCCAGGGCCUCAGAGCACUCCGUCUCUGUUGUGUCAGCCCCCAGCCCUAAGAGGUGAGUACCCACUCCCCUGGGGUCAAGGAUGAGCUCACGUGCGAAGGACGUUCGUUGUUUCCCAAAGGACCCAGGCUGAAGUAGAGAUGGCCCGCGUUUUCAGGGCUGGACUGAGCCAGGCACCGGGGAUGCAUCGUGGCAGCCGGCACUCACUGUGCACCUGCGUACCUGUGGGACUCCUGCCUCCUUAGACCUCCCACCUAAGGUGCCUCUUCUGCCUCACCCUGCUGAAAGCCUUGUAUGUUGGAACCUGGAGCCAAAGAGUACAACAUGGACCCGUGGGACGUGCGGUGUCUGGAAGUGCUAUCGUGAGGCCCCAGGUGAUGAUCCAAAGUCUUGUCUAGACCAUGCCUCCAUUUCCCUGGGGCUGUGCACACUGGGUGUCGUGAUUUUCAUUUUUACAGGGUUUCUGAUUGAUGGGUUUGGGAGAAUUCAGGGAGGAGACAUCAGCAGACACAUCUGGAUUUGCUGCGCUCCAGCUGGGUUAGCAAGGCUGAGCAGGAGUCAGGAAGAGCUGUGGCCUCCCUGGGGGCUGAUCAUCUUGGACAGAGCACCACGAACAAUCACCUUCCACUUGGCAGACAGGCAAGCGCAGCGCUGGUGUUUUAGCUCACAGCGAGAUGCCUGUUUGCACGGGGACCUCUGAUGAGACACGGAUGUAGCCGUGCACCCUGGAAUCAGAGGCUGAUUUAGUAAAUAAAAAUACAGGGUGCUCAUUAAAAUCUGCAUUUUAGAUAAACAAUGCAUAUUUUAAGACAAAUAUGGUCCACAUAUUUCAUGGGGAAUGUAUGCACACAACUUACUUGUUGUUUACCCGAAACACAUUUAAUUGCAUAUCCUGUAUUCAUCUGGUAGCCCUCCCUGGACCCUGGGUAAGUCAGCGACCUGGAACGGUGGCUGGUAUUUUAAGUGCUCAGGAGAGUGUGAUGAGAAAUGGCGUGUUUCUGCUCGUGAAAGUUUUUGUUCCCUUCUCUUGGGGCUUUUAUCGUUCCACAUCCAAGGAGAGGCCAUUAAUCUCAGUAGACCAAGUGCCUCUAAUUACUGAGACAGGCAUGUUCCACCUGGAGGAAUUCAAGCCAGGCUUUUUAGACUGGAGCAGAGCUACAUCUGUGGCUGCAUAAAGACAUGGAAAUGGGGGCGGUAUCGCAGCCUGCUCGAUUGGAAUUUAAAUGUGGUCCACCCUCUACAACAAGCUCUUUCAUUAUUUUGAGCUGUUUCCUUGAAAUUUUCCUCCAAGAGUUGGUGUUCAGGGACUUACAGUCUUUGAAUGAAUAUUGAAUUCUCUUUAAAAAUAGUCUGUUCUUAAGAAUCAUCCAAGGAAAAUGCCUAAGAACAUCCUCGUGAUAGAUGUGAUUUGAACUGAUGUCCUGAGCAAAUUGUGUAGGACAAGAAGAGGGAGCCCAGGUCUUCUCGGGAGGGCUCCUAACUAUCCGUGCACCUACACCCAUCCCUCUAUCCAUCUGCCAAGUGUCUGGAGUAGGCUCAUAUUGGAAAGAGGGAAAAUACAGGUACACCCUUCAAAGCACUCACAGCUUCCUGAGAAGGCAGACGUGUAACGAGACAAUCGGGACGCCUUGGAGUUUAGCUGUGAUGGAGGUGAGCAUGGGAAUCGUGGAAAUGCCCAGACAUAGGAUUUCACUCAGGGAUGGGGAGGGAGAGAGGGUUCUGUAGAGGAGUGGAUGCCUUCGUAAGGCUGGGAGGGUGAGUAGCAGUUGCUUAGCCAGGUGGUCUUUUUACAAACUUUUUUUGAAGGAGGGCCCCUGGUUAGCUUUGGUUCAGUUUCUUAUCUCCACGUGACAAGGAAUUCAAGGAAAAGACAUAGGUAAAGGUGAGUAGAAAAGCAAGAUUUAUUUAAAGCUAAAGUAAACACCCAGGAAGGAGUGGGCAAGAAUGGCAGGGAAAGCAAUGCAACCCACAAGGGUCACCCUUCUCUAUGAUCUGGAGGAUUAGGGGGCGGUGUCUGGAGUGGGGCUCCGUUGAGUACUCAGAGGGUGUGGCAUUUGCAGGGGGACUUGAGUACCUCCAGUUUCCUUGCCCCUUUUGGAAAACUGAAAAGUGCCUUGACAUCAGGUGCAGAUAGGAGUGGGAGUGUCAGCCACGGCAAUUUUAUUUUAAUGACGUUAUAAUGACCUAAACAUCAUCGUGGGGAUACCACCUGCAGCCAUAUUGGGCAUUUUUCUAUCUGGUGCUGGUUCUAAGUUGAAAAAUAGCAGAGACUAUGGUUGUCCAUUACUUGGGAUGGGGGUGGUGAUUGGCGGUGCAUGGAGAGGGAGGUUCAGGCAGUGCAAGGAAGGAAGGUUUGGGUGGUGCACAGGGUAGGAGAACAGUUUAAGCAGCGUAAGCCCAGCUGUGUCAUGGGUCACCCAGGGCUGCUAUGUGGGGCUGGGGCUGCUAUGCAGGGCCAGGUGGGCAGAGCUGCAGUGGGCAUGGAGGCAGAAUGGUGCUGUCAAACCUCAGCACCUUUUCCUAGUGCUACCUCCCUGCCUAGGUCAGACUGGAGCACGGAUAAUUGGCCAUUGUUUGACUCACUCUGGGAACGUAUGUAGAGUAAGUAAGGGUGACUCCUAGAUUCCUGGCUUGGCACCUGCCUCACUGGGCAUAGGUGGAUACUGAGGUGUGGAACUUUUAGAGGACGUGAAUGAUUGGGCCUCAGUGGUGAGUGCUGGAAAAAUCUCAACAUAGACAUUGUGAGAAUUGCACAAGAGAAUUCACAUGGAGCAGUGAGAAAAAGUCCUUGCUGGUUAUCCGGUCAGUGAGGGAAGGAGGGCAACGUAGUUGUUUGGCUUCGCUUGCACAUGUUCUUUGCUCUUUAAGGGUUUCUUUGUUUUACUUGGAUCUGUAGUAUCAGAAGCCAUGCAGAUCCACAAGCUUACCGAUUCAAGAGAGUGAGGAGAGGAAAAAAAGUGUUGUCUGUGUGCUCCUGCUUCAUGAGGGGGCCGCUUCCAGAGAGCUGCUUGCCCAGUGAAUUGGAUGAAUCAGUACAGCUUGGCUGACUUGCCUUGUCAAUCUGACUGCGUCAUCAGCCACGCGCUGCAACAGCAGGAGCAGAACGGGCGAUGCCAAGUUCCAUAGAUUGUAUUUUUGGGCAAAAUGUACUAGAUGAGCUACAGAUUGUAUUUUCCAUGCUUUCAUGACUAAUGUUUGCAACUACUAAUGGUUGGGGAUGGCUCCCACUGGAACAGACGUCUUCAGUAUUUUUUUAUACAAAAUUAGUCAUGUAGAUUCCCUGGAACUUGGUGUUUUAUUAAAUCUCAACCCCCGCCACGCCCCACCACCACCACCCAUUUUCUGUCUUUUCAGAGAAAAGCUGUGUGCCGUGCACUCUGGAAAGAUUUUUUUUUUUAUGUGCAUUUAAUGCAGAGUGGGCUAGUUCCUGCUCAGAAUUCAAACAAAUGGCUUUAUGCCUUUUCUGGUCAGCAUGACAAAAGGACCUAAAAGACAGCUCUUUGAUCAGUGUGAUCAGCCGUUGGAUGGUACUUUUGUUCUACAGCAGUGCAGCUUGCAGCAUGUUUAUUUGGCAAUAGAAAAAAGGUCACCGUUUUAAGGCAGUUCAGAAACCAAAUGUUCCCGUAAUAUGGCAUCUUUCUCACAAAGCACCCCUUGGCUUUGCUGCUUUGGAAUCUGUGUGCUUUCAACAAGCUCAGGCUCUUACAUGUGUCAGUGUGUGUGUGUGUGUGUGUGUGCACGCCUGCAGGCAGCGGGUGGGGGAGUCACUGGUUGGAGGUAUGUUAAGUGCAGAAUCUGAGGUUCUGCAGUUAGGAAAGUCUGUCAUAAGGUGAGUUCUUUAAAUAGGAGGCGGGGGUGGUGGGCAGAGGAUCUCUGCCUAGGUGCAUCGUACGUGGGAACUGAACAGCAUGUGCAGAGGAACCUGAAUUAGGUUUUUUUUU